rnacentral:rRNA from 1 species
UACGAAGGGGGCUAGCGUUGUUCGGAAUUACUGGGCGUAAAGCGCGCGCAGGCGGUCUUCCAAGUCAGUGGUGAAAGCCCGGAGCUCAACUCCGGAACUGCCGUUGAAACUGUUAGACUUGAGGACGAGAGAGGUGAGUGGAAUUCCCAGUGUAGAGGUGAAAUUCGUAGAUAUUGGGAAGAACACCGGUGGCGAAGGCGGCUCACUGGCUCGUUUCUGACGCUCAGGCGCGACAGCGUGGGGAGCAAACAGG